AUGAGAUGAUCGAAGGAAAGCCACAUUUCACAGUAGGAUCCUGACAAGCAGAAUCCUAUAUUAUUCAUGAUUCAAACUGAUGUGAGAAACCUACCAGGCACAUUCAGUUUUGACAAUCAAACAAACUGAUCUAGGUACUGAUCCACGGUCGUGUAUUUGACGUCGGGGUAGAGCUCCGAAGCUUCCACUCCGAACGAAGGCUCAAUCUCGAAGUUGGUUUGGUCUCCUUUCACGAAAACAGAAUGGGAUAUGGC